rfam:Schistosoma margrebowiei strain Zambia genome assembly, scaffold: SMRZ_scaffold0001434
UUCCAGCUGACAAGUCCCAAACAGGACGAAACGCGCGUCCUGGAU